GAUUAGAACAUCAACAUCCCCUGUUUCUCCGCAUUGUAACCAUGUCACCUUCUUCCCAGAUUUCUUCGCAACCGCAUCUAUCCCCUGCUCCCAGCUCAUUCUAUGCUUCGGUCAUUCAAGAUCAUCCCUUCAUUACCGUUUAGCAUCCAUCAUCAAAGCCCCAGCUCAUCUCCUCUGUUCACGCUCCCAGCCAGCAAUCUUCUUCCGGAUUCCCUGCAUCCCAAAAC
rnacentral:lncRNA from 1 species